UACGGGGGGGGGUAAGCGUUUGUUCGGAAUUACUGGGCGUAAAGAGUGUGUAGGCGGUGCUCUAAGUUUGGUGUGAAAUCUCCCGGCUCAACCGGGAGGCUGCAUCGAAUACUGGAAUGCUAGAGGGUGGGAGAGGUAAGCGGAAUUCCUGGUGUAGCGGUGAAAUGCGUAGAUAUCAGGAGGAACACCUGUGGUGUAGACAGCUUACUGGACCACUUCUGACGCUGAGACACGAAAGCGUGGGUAGCAAACAGG
rnacentral:rRNA from 1 species